ACGAGUUAACAAGUCGUUAACCACAAGGAGCUUAGUUCUUUGGAACGGUCUCUUGUUAUACACCCACAAACAAAGUUUAGGGGGGUAUAUAGGAGUGAACUUGUCUGUCGGUCUGUCUGUCUGUCGGUCCGUAUUAAGUGUCCGCUCUCUAAUUCAAGUAGUUUUCAUCCGAUCUUCACCAAACUUGGUCAGAAGUUGUAUCUACAUAAUGUCUAGGCCAAGUUAGAACAUGGUCCUUUGCCAGGUCAAAAACUAGGUCACAGGGUCACUUAGUGCGUUUUAAACAUUCAGCAUGUUGUCCGCUCUCUAAUUCAAGUAGUUUUCAUCCGAUCUUCACCAAACUUGGUCAGAAGUUGUAUCUAGAUGAUCUUAAGGCCAAGUUCCAACAUGGGCCUUGCCGGGUCAAAAACUAGGUAACGGGGUCACUUAGUGCGUUUUUUAACAUUCAGCAUGGUGUUCUGUCUCUUAUUCAAGUAGUUUUCAUCCGAUCUUCUUCAAACUUGGUCAGAAGUUUUAUCUAGAUGAUCUGAUGGCCAAGUUCGAACAUGGGCCAUGCCAGAUCAAAAACUAGGUCACAGGGUCACUUAGUACGUUUUACACAUUGAGCAUGGUGACUGCUCUCUAUUUCAAGUAGUUUAAAUCCGAUCUUCACCACACUUGGUCAGAAGUUGUAACUAGAUGAUGUGUAGGUCAAGUUCGAACAUGGACCAUGCCGGGUAAAAAACUAGGUCACGGGGUCACUUAGUGUGUUUUAAACCUCACCAUGUUGUCUGCUCUCUAAUUCAAGUAGUUUUUAUCCAAUCUUCACCAAAAUUGGUCAGAAGUUGUAUCUUGAUAAUGUCUAGGGCAAGUUUAAAUAUGGGUCAUGCCGGGUCAAAAACAAGGUCACAGGGUCACUUGUGCGUUUUAAACAUCACAAUGUUGUCCGCUCUCUAAUUAUGCCCCCCUUCGAAGAAAAGGGGGUAUAUUGCUUUGCUCAUGUCGGUCGGUCGGUCGGUAGGUCGGUCGGUCCGUCCGUCCACCAGGUGGUUGUCAGACGAUAACUCAAGAACGCUUGGGCCUAGGAUCAUGAAACUUCAUAGGUACAUUGAUCAUGACUUGCAGAUGACUCCUAUUGAUUUUGAGGUCACUAGGUCAAAGGUCAAGGUCACAGUGACCCGAAAUAGUAAAAUGGUUUCCGGAUGAUAACUCAAGAACGCAUACGCCUAGGAUCAUGAAACUUCAUGGGUAGAUUGAUCAUGACUCGCAGAUGACCCCUAUUGAUUUUUAGGUCACUAGGUCAAAGGUCAAGGUCACGGUGACCGGAAAUAGUAAAUUGGUUUCCGGAUGAUAACUCAAGAACGCAUACCCCUAGGAUCAUGAAACUUCAUGGGUAGAUUGAUCAUGACUCGCAGAUGACCCCUAUUGAUUUUGAGGUCACUAGGUCAAAGGUCAAGGUCACGGUGAUCCAAAAUAGUAAAAUGAUUUUCGGAUGAUAAUUCAAGAACGCAUAUGCCUAGGAUCAUGAAACUUUAUAUGUAGAUUGAUCAUGACUCGCAGAUGACCCCUAUUGAUUUUCAGGUCACUAGGUCAAAGGUCAAGGUCACGGUGACCCGAAAUAGUAAAAUGAUUUUCAGAUGAUAACUCAAAAACGCAUAUGCCUAGGAUCAUGAAACUUCAUAGGUAGAUUGAUCAUGACUCGCAGAUGCCCUUCAAAGAAGUGGGGGUAUAUUGCUUUGCUCAUGUCGGUCGGUAGGUCGGUCGGUCCGUCCGUCCACCAGGUGGUUGUCAGACGAUAACUCAAGAACGCUUGGGCCUAAGAUCAUGAAACUUCAUAGGUACAUUGAUCAUGACUUGCAGAUGACCCCUAUUGAUUUUGAGGUCAAAGGUCAAGGUCACGGUGACCCGAAAUAGUAAAAUGGUUUCCGGAUGAUAACUCAAGAACGCAUACGCCUAGGAUCAUGAAACUUCAUGGGUAGAUUGAUCAUGACUGGCAGAUGACCCCUAUUGAUUUUGAGGUCACUAGGUCAAAGGUCAAGGUCACUGUGACCCGAAAUAGUAAAAUGAUUUUCGGAUGAUAAUUCAAGAACGCAUAUGCCUAGGAUCAUGAAACUUUAUAGGUAGAUUGAUCAUGACUCGCAGAUGACCCCUAUUGAUUUUCAGGUCACUAGGUCAAAGGUCAAGGUCACGGUGACCCGAAAUAGUAAAAUGAUUUUCGGAUGAUAACUCAAGAACGCUUUUGCCUAGGAUCAUGACACUUCAUAGGUACAUUGAUCUUGACUUGCAGAUGACCUCUAUUGAUUUUCAGGUCACUAGGUCAAAGGUCAAGGUCACAGUGACAAAAGUCGUAUUCACACAAUGGCUGCCAGUACAACGGACAGCCCAUAUGGGGGGCAUGCAUGUUUUACAAACAGCCCUUGUUCAAGUAGUUUUCAUCCAAUCUUCACCAAACUUGGUCAGAAGUUGUAUCUAGAUGAUGUCUAGGUCAAGUUUGAAUAUGGGUCAUGCCAGGUCAAAAACUAGGUCACGGGGUAUCUUAGUGCGUUGUAAACCUCACCAUGUUGUCCGCUCUCUAAUUCAAGUAGUUUUCAUCCAAUCCUCACCAAACUUGGUCACAAGUUUUAUCUAAAUGAUCUUUAGGACAAGUUCAAACAUGGGCCAUUCCGGGCCUCAAACUAGGUCACGGGGUCACUUAGUGCGUUUUUUAACAUUGAGCAUGGUGUCGCUCUCUAAUUCAAGUAGUUUACACCCGAUCUUCAUCAAACUUGGUCAGAAGUUUUAUGGAGAUGAUCUAAAGACCAAGUUAGAACAUGGGCCUUUCUGGGUCAAAAACUAGGUCAAGGAGCACUUAGUGCGUUUUAAAAAUUGAGCAUGGUGUCCGCUGUUUUUUGUGAAGACAACAUGCAAAAUAUGUGUCAAUGCCGCAUGUGGGGGUAUUAAUCACGUCUGUGACAAAGCUCUAGUUUUAUUAGUUUAAACCUAUUUAUUUAAGCUCAAUUGCAUAGAAAGCCUUAGGCUUUUUUUAAACGCUCUCAAGUCCGUUUCCUGGGACUAGAACCAGUACUUGGUGUCUAUGGGGGAAAUCUAAAGAACGCUCCCACAGUUGGGAUGGAACCCGUGACCUCCCGAACGCUAGGCAGACACCAUAUCUACAACACCAUAGCGCCUCUUGUUUGAUUAACAUGAAACUUCUAAUGAUUUUUAUUUACAUUGAGUAAAAGUGGGUAACAUUCUUUACCCAUCUUAUUUCACAAUUAUUCUUCAAUGUAUAGUUCCACAUGGAACCUCAUAAGAUUUAUACUGCCGUUUGACAGGAAUAAUUACUUUUUAUGCCCCCCUUUAAAGAACAGUUGGUAUAUUGUUUUGCACAUGUCAGUCUGUCGGUCCGUCGGUCGGUCCAUCCACCAGAUGGUUUCUAGAUGAUAACUCAAGAACGCUAAGGCCUAGGAUCACGAAACUUCAUAGGUACAUUGAUCAUGACUGGCAGAUGACCCCUAUUGAUUUUAAGGUCAUUAGGUCAAAGGUCAAGGUCACAGUGACUCAAAACAGUAAAAUGGUUUCCGGAUGAUAACUCAAGAAUGCUUACGCCUAGGAUCAUGAAACUUCAUAGGUACAUUGAUCAUGACUGGCAGAUGACCCCUAUUGAUUUUCAGGUCACUAGGUCAAAAGUCACAGUGACUCGAAAUAGUAAAAUGGUUUCCGGAUGAUAACUCAAGAUUGCUUACGCCUAGGAUCAUGAAACUUCAUAGGUACAUUGAUCAUGACUGGCAGAUGACCCCUAUUAAUUUUCAGGUCACUAGGUCAAAGGUCAAGGUCACAGUGACUCGUUCAUUCAUUUUAUGUGUGUGUCCAAAAACUUUAACCUUGGUUAAAGUUUAAUAAGUUUUGCAAUAUUGAAGAUGGCAACUUCAUAUUUGGCAUGCAUGUGUAUCUGACUGAGCUGCACAUUUUUAGUGGUGAAAAGUCAAAGUUCAGGUCUCUGGUCAUAGUGACAAAAAACGUAUUCACACAAUGGCUUCCUCUACAACUGACAGCCCAUAUGGGGGGCAUGCAUGUUUUACAAACAGCCCUUGUUAGACCUUGGGAACGGUUCGUACAGAUGGAUGCAGUUUAUAUAAAUAAUGCAUAGAUUGGUAAAAUAUGCAUUUUUUUCUUAAAAAUCCGAAAUGAUCGACUAGAGGCCUUGUUUGACUUUGUUUGGGAGGGUGAUGGACGUUUCGUGCCACUGAUAUUUGUGUAGGGUGACAUUGGACGUUUCGCUCCACUGAUAAUAUAUAUCCUCCAAUUACCUUGAGUCGAGCGGUUAAGGAAACAACUAAAAUAAUUUCUGAAUUAUUUAAACAAUGCCGCAAUAAACGAUAUACAUAAAA